rfam:Picea glauca, whole genome shotgun sequence.
ACAUGCCUACAACAUAGUGUUAAUGCGCCAAAUCCCAUUAGAGCUCCGUAGUUAAGUGUGCUUGGGCUAGGGUAGUACUGGGAUGGGUGACCACUCAGUAAGUCUUAGUGUUUUACAUGCA